GCGGCGAGGAGCUCGCAGGAAUGUAAACUCCAGGUUCGGGUCUCGGUAGUUGUCGGCAGGGGGAAAUGGACGAGCGAAGUCCAUUGUUGGGCCACCAGCAGCCACAGAGUCUAGAUCUUCUGUCUCCAAACCUGAGACCGAGACACCAGAAUCUGAUCCCCACGCCAUGUGGACCGAUCAAGUCCUGGUCGGAGCUGUCGGCGCCAGUGAAGCUCUACUUCUGCUUCACCAUGGCGUCUCUGCUGGCGCUGCUCGGCCUCACCUCGUACAGCAUCUACAAGCAGCACAU